GGUCCGGUGGUGUAGUGGUUAUCAUGUCUGCUUUACACGCAGAAGGUCCCCGGUUCGAACCCGGGCCGGACCA